UUGACCUCUCCUUGAAUUAAUGUGAUCCGAUUCAUCUUCCCUCCAAGUUUUUUUUUUUAAAUUUAAUUACCCCUCCCUGCGCUGGCCCUGCCAGCUUCAGCUCCACCUCCUUGGAGGAAGCAGGCGCUUUUACAGAGCGCCGCGCUGCAGGUCCCCUUUCAGCCAAUCACAUCUGCGGAACCGCGUUCCAAGUCGUUUGAGGGUGUCUGGUAAAGCAAGCUCGGGGCGGUGUUGGAAAUCUGAAUGUCACCCGCGGUCCGGAGCAGAUAGGAUGGGCUGGGAAGGUACCCGCGAACUGCCGCCGGAAUUCGCUGGCAGCUGUGCGAGGCUCAGAUUAUUUAAAUUUUCCACAAAUUUCUACGGAUUAAUUCAAUGGCAGCUCACUUUCUCCUUUUAUGAUCGGAUGGGUCCGAAAGUGAGGAAAAAUACAAUUGUCUACAAAGAAAGAGGCUGCCAAGUGGAGAAAGAAAAGCAGUUAUGAGACUGAUGAUAGAUUCCAAUUUGUUAUCGAAAGGAAGGAGGAGACCUGAACAGUACAUCCAGAGAAUCCAGCAAAGCAUACCACGGCAUGAAUGUGCAAGUGGACAGAAUUAAAACACAUGCCAGAAACACUAAUGGAUUCUAAACAAGAUGCAGUUUCAUUUCCUGAGCCUAUACGUGAUGUUUUUAACUGUUCUCCAGUUAAUAUGUCUCCAUUUCCAGAAAUCUAACAGGAGAAUCUCUGACUGCUUAACAGAUCACCUAAGCUUGCGAUUUGUGCAAUCCAUUCUAGAGUAAGGGCUCCCCGGCUGCUCCCCGGCCACUGUGUACCCAAAGCAGCGGCUGAAAUAGCCCGGAGUCCAACAGCUCAGCGUCAAGCAGCUCGUGGCAAACGCAGCCGCCGGUCUUGACUGCCAUCGCCCAAGGGGUUCCUCUGGGCUCUCCCGCGAGCCAACAGCCGACCUCUCUCCAGCCUAGUCUGGGAAACUCCAGCCAACCCAGGAUCCCAUUUUGUAGUCCCGGGCAGACCCGCAACCCCUGAAAGAACUCCACUCCAGAAGACGCCAGAACAAGUUCCCACGAAUUUCAUGGGCGCCCUUUACAUGAAAACCUCAGCUCCCCUAUCCUCAAGGAAUGGGGAAGGGCGCCGGGGAGGGACUUCGGUGGCCAGCUGUCUCUGGGUCGUGGGCGCUGUUUGGUCUGCGGAGCGCCAGCCCUGCACACAGCGGGUGCGGGAAGCGUUGAUGGGAGGCUGGAGGGCGGGGUGAGCGUAAACUAGGAUCUAGCCGGUUCCAGGCGUGGAGAACCAAAUGUGGUCCUAGAUCUGUAAGUUGCGAAAAGGGGCUUUUAGGAGCGUCAGAGCUUUCUCACUCCGGCACCCCGCCGCCUUGAGGCUGGCAGAUUUAUACCACACAGGUGGAUGGAGACCUAAACAAAACAGUCCCGGCCGCUGCCUGCCGCUCGCCCCCCACCUCCCCCGGGCCCACCGCAAACUUCAACAAAAUAAACAACUCACCACAGGCAUUCCCUUGUCUGCAGCGCGACGCUUGCCAGCUGGGAAAAUAAGCCGCAAGCCACGCGGCCGAGGCGCGGAUGGAAGGCAGCGCGGCGCCCGCCCCUCUCCCCCAGGUGGGGGGCAGCAGGACUCGGGGCGGGAGGGAGGCUCCGCCUCGGGGGCCGCUCUCCCAGUUCUCCGACUCCGGAAUGAGCUCUGGGAGAGGAGCUGCGCCCUUCCAGCUAGCCCGAUUUCUCCGCCAUCUAGGGGAGAGGGCGGGGAGCCAAAUCCCUCAGCCCCCCGCACCGCAGCAGCUUCCUCCAGGCAGCUUUCUCCCCAGUCAGCCUCAAA